rnacentral:hammerhead_ribozyme from 1 species
ACACUGCUGAAGAGUCCCACACUAGGACGAAACAGCCGUCCAGUGU